rnacentral:misc_RNA from 1 species
GGGAAUUUCAUUUAAACCUAAUUUUGGAUUUCGCGUCUUUUUCAUUUCUGUUUCUCAGCUGUCACCGGCGCUCUUUCCUUUUCCUUCUUCGUCUAUCUUCUAAACCUAGCUUUCUCUUUCUCUCUAGGGUUUUUCUUUCUGGUUUUUUUUUUUUUCUUUCACUUAAUCUUGUUCUUUACCUGUAUUUCUCUUUCUGCUACUCUCUUCCUUCCUCUUAGUGGUGGAUCUCAAAUUACAAUGGAGUACGGCGGCGGUCGCAAGAGAGGCAGGCCUGAGGCUGCUCUGAAUGGCAAUGGUGGCCCUAAGAAAACCAAACAAGAAAUGGAGUCCUUUCCAACUGGUAUAGGAAGCAAAUCGAAGCCAUGCA